rnacentral:lncRNA from 1 species
CGAGUAAAAUCGUAUCUGACUAACAAAACAACAUUGAAACAAUGGAUGCCAUAAACUGGAAAACACCGGAUCAGAUUCCAGAGGCGGAUAAGGGUAAUUCCGGGUUUGCCGAUCAAAUUCAAUAAAAAAAAAAAAUUCCAGGCAGGUGACAUUUGCUGAUGAUAAAAUAAUUUAACAAUAGAAUUGAAAACCCAAAAGAUAUAUGGAAAAGAAAGAAAAAGCAGGAAAUAUUUUAUACAGAAACUCAAAAUUACUUUUAGUUCACAAAUUGUCAUGUCAAAAUUCAACAUGUUCAAUAAAAUGUGACAGUAAUUUUCUUUAUUAAAUUUUGAUAUUUCAUAUAGAUAUUUUUAUAGUGUAAACAUAUUACUACAAUUCCAAGAGGUAAUUUCUUCUAAAUUUUGAAGGACCGCCCAGGAAAAUCUUGAAGUUUCUUAAUUUAUUUUCACAGAGGAACCAAAUAAAUAGCUUUGAAUUUGAACUGCUACUUAAAUUGUAUACUCCGAAAUGAACAAUAUAAAAAAGAGAUACAUAUAGCCCUUUAUAUCAUAGUGAAAACUACAAGACAACACACACCCACCAACAGUGACACCAUCCCCAUAUAAAAACAAGAUAAUGUGAUUUUAUUAUAAAUUGUUAGACAAUUACAUGUAUAAUUUAACAUGUUUUACAACAGUUACUGACAAUGAAACAAGUUAACCUAACACCAAAAGCACAUAAAUUUUGUAUCUUACUGAGUUAUGAAAUAUUUCAAGUAAAAGUAGGACCUGGAAUUUAG